ensembl:ncRNA lncRNA:CR43104 long non-coding RNA:CR43104
UCAUUGGAUUACUAGCCAUUCCUCUUCGGCAUUAUCUUGGCUGAGCAGCUCGACGACGUAGAAGAAACAGCUGAGUCAAGGAGCAAUGGUGCAACAACUUUGCCGGAUAGAACCACGUUGGUUGCAACAUGAUCGAUAACCAAGGACUUUUCAUCUCACCACUGCAGUGGUGAGUGCACUGGGUAUUUCCCAAGUUCCUGCGAUUGCCCUUUGAUGUUGUCCCUGAUUUUACCGUGUACACAUUGUGUACUGCACAACUUGCCCCACGGGUUAUUAAGCUAUUCAACUUGAGAGGACAACUCAAGAUAUCUUAACUGUCCACCAAUAAUAUCAUUUCUUAAACGUAAUCCUUUUCCUUCACACCUUGAACAGAUAUUCCACUCCAGAUUUACGAUAGCUGCUUCGGCUGUAACAAUUUGCGGAAAUUAGCCAAGGUGUUUUAUGGUCAUCACCAUCGACUCACCCUCUGUCCACUAUUACACUCAUCGGAUAAAGGAGCCGUGGCACUGCGAAGUGGAUUGUUGUCCGGCAACGUGGAAAUGUUUACUUUUUCUUCGGUUUGCUUUUCCAACACUCUGUACCGAACGAUGAGCUGCCUUUGGGGGCUUUUUAAUUGAGGUCUAAGCUGUAAUUAAGCAGCUCGGCCUUUUGCCAUGUGCUCUAAUUCUAUUUUUGCAGUUUAAUGAAGUCCUUGGCUGCAGGACGUUCCUCUGUCCGUCGCUUCUUUCGUCCUUUCGUUACCUGUCACCUGGGCAAAUUGGUUGGCAUUAUUCAUUCACUGUCCUUUAAAGCUCUGGCUAAGGCCAGAUCUGGCCUGCCACCCAGCCGUUGUUCUGACCCGGCUUAAAUGCCAAUAUAUCACUGGCUAACAACGCUGGUUUCCGUCUGCAGGAUUUUAGCUCAAACGGGGCUAAUAUACAGUUUUGGAUGAAGAAAUACAUAAUGCAAACAUACAUAUUUUUAACAUUUUUUGGUUGCUGAGAAAUAUGUAUUAUAAUUAUGAUUAAAAAUGUUUUUGUUGAAU